UUUCAAAUCAGUGAAACUAAUCUCCCCGUGAAGAAGCGGGGAUAUACUUAUAAGACGAGAAGACCCCAUGGAGCUUCAAACCCCGCUACACCCCGAUCUCUAUAACCCACUUAACCCACACGGACCCCUGUAUAGCUGGUUUUCGGUUGGGGCGACCACGGAGUACAACAAAACCUCCACAAUGAACGGGACUAAUCCCUCACCUAAGGCCCACACCCCUAAGAAUUAGAAUACUAACAUAAAGUGAUCCAUUAUUUGAUCAAUGAACCAAGUUACCCUGGGGAUAACAGCGCAAUCCACUUCAAGAGCCCCUAUCGACAAGUGGGUUUACGACCUCGAUGUUGGAUCAGGGUAUCCUAGUGGUGCAGCAGCUACUAACGGUUCGUUUGUUCAACGAUUAAAACCCU
rnacentral:rRNA from 1 species